rnacentral:rRNA from 1 species
CCUACGGGUGACAGCAGUGAGGAAUAUUGGUCAAUGGACGCAAGUCUGAACCAGCCAUGCCGCGUGCAGGAAGACGGCUCUAUGAGUUGUAAACUGCUUUUGUACGAGGGUAAACGCAGAUACGCGUAUCUUUCUGAAAGUAUCGUACGAAUAAGGAUCGGCUAACUCCGUGCCAGCAGCCGCGGUAAUACGGAGGAUUCAAGCGUUAUCCGGAUUUAUUGGGUUUAAAGGGUGCGUAGACGGUCGGAUAAGUUAGAGGUGAAAUCCCGAGGCUCAACUUCGGAAUUGCCUCUGAUACUGUUCGGCUAGAGAGCAGUUGCGGUAGGCGGAAUGUAUGGUGUAGCGGUGAAAUGCUUAGAGAUCACACAGAACACCGAUUGCGAAGGCAGCUUACCAAGCUACUUCUGACGUUGAGGCACGAAAGCGUGGGGAGCAAACAGGAUUAGAUACCCUGGUAGUC